AGCAGCCGCGGUAAUUCCAGCUCCAAUAGCGUAUAUUAAAGUUGCUGCAGUUAAAAAGCUCGUAGUUGAAUUUCGGGACCAUCAUGUCGGUCGUGCCUCGGUACGUACUGGCGUCAUUGGUUUCUCCUUUCUGACGAACCAUGAUGUCAUUAAUUUGGUGUUAUGGGGAGUUAGGACUGUUACUUUGAAAAAAUUAGAGUGUUUAAAGCAGGCAUUAGCUUGAAUACAUUAGCAUGGAAUAAUGAAAUAGGACGUUCGAUCCUAUUUUGUUGGUUUCUAGGAUCAACGUAAUGAUUAAUAGGGAUAGGUUGGGGGCAUUAGUAUUCAAUUGUCAGGGGUGAAAUUCUUGGAUUUAUUGAAGACUAACUACUGCGAAAGCAUUUGCCAAGGAUGUUUUCAUUAAUCAAGAACGAAAGUUAGGGGAUCGAAGACGAUCAGAUACCGUCGUAG
rnacentral:rRNA from 1 species